rnacentral:rRNA from 1 species
AUUGAACGCUGGCGGCAGGCCUAACACAUGCAAGUCGAACGAGUGGCGGACGGGUGAGUACUGUCUGGGAAACUGCCUGAUGGAGGGGGAUAACUACUGGAAACGGUAGCUAAUACCGCAUACCAUCGGAUGUGCCCAGAUGGGAUUAGCUAGUAGGUGGGGUAACGGCUCACCUAGGCGACGAUCCCUAGCUGGUCUGAGAGGAUGACCAGCCACACUGGAACUGAGACACGGGCCAGGCUCCUACGUGAGGCAGCAGGGGGUAAUAGUUCACAAUGGUCGCAAGCCUGAUUCAGCCAUGCCGCGUGUAUGAAGAAGGCCUUCGGGUUGUAAAGUACAUUCAGCGCGGAGGCGUUACUCGCAGAAGAAGCACCGGCUAACUCCGUGCCAGCAGCGGCGGUAAUUC